rnacentral:rRNA from 1 species
CCCUUAGAUGUCCUGGGCUGCACGCGCGCUACACUGGAAGUUACGGAUUGAGAUACUACCUUGUCCGAAAUGGUCCGGGUAAUCACCUAAAAGCUUGUCAUAAUUGGAAUGGAUUAUUGUAACUAGUAAUCCUGAACGAGGAAUUCCUAGUAAGUCCCAGUCAACAGCUGGUACUGAUUACGUCCCUGCCCUUUGUACACACCGCCCGUCGCUACUACUGAUUGGACGUUUAAGCAAGAUUUUUAAACACUGACAGUGUGUAGUUCACGCUAUACUACAGUGAGAAGAAGAUCGAGCUUACUUGUCUAGAGGAAGUAAAAGUCGUAACA